GUGAUACAGCGAGGACUUUAACGUCAGAAUGACGGUGGGAUCUUUUUUCAGCCACCUCAAAAUGGUAACCAGUCAGAAGUUGAGUACAAGACACAUGAUAGGAAUAGGUGUGGUGGCGAUGCUCGUUGUCAUAGCAACAGUAGCUGGCGUUGUUGCAACUAAUAAAUCCAAAUCUCCGAAACAAGGAGUCUGUACCGGACUUCCUUUCACCUGGGACCCCAAUCUAACGACCAACCAGUCCGAUUCCGUGAGUCCGGGACAGACAGUUUCUCUGAGUUGCCAAGGAGACUCCUUGUUGAACAUGGGUGACAGUGUGGUAGAGUGUGUGGGUGGUACUCGGUAUAA